GGCGGACGGGUGAGUAAUGUCUGGGAAACUGCCUGAUGGAGGGGGAUAACUACUGGAAACGGUGGCUAAUACCGCAUAACGUCUCAAGACCAAAGAGGGGGACCUUCGGGCCUCUUGCCAUCAGAUGUGCCCAGAUGGGAUUAGCUUGUUGGUGAGGUAACGGCUCACCAAGGCGACGAUCCCUAGCUGGUCUGAGAGGAUGACCAGCCACACUGGAACUGAGACACGGCCCAGACUCCUACGGGAGGCAGCAGUGGGGAAUAUUGCACAAUGGGCGCAAGCCUGAUGCAGCCAUGCCGCGUGGAUGAAGAAGGCCUUCGGGUUGUAAAGUACUUUCAGCGGGGAGGAAGGUGUUGUGGUUAAUAACCGCAGCAAUUGACGUUACCCGCAGAAGAAGCACCGGCUAACUCCGUGCCAGCAGCCGCGGAAUACGGAGGGUGCAAGCGUUAAUCGGAAUUACUGGGCGUAAAGCGCACGCUGGCGGUCUGUCAAGUCGGAUG
rnacentral:rRNA from 1 species